rnacentral:misc_RNA from 1 species
AACCAUAAAUCCUCAAAAAUUACAGGAAAAGAUUGUGAGGAUUUAAGAAGAAGAAGAAUAAGAGGAGGAAGAAGCCAAGAAGAAGAUGAAGCAAUAGCAAAUAAUAAAAAAAUUAUAGUUAAAGAUGGCAAGAUCCAGAGAGGAGAAGCCCAGAACAACAUGAACAGCAAAAGAAGACGUCAAAACCAAGAAAAAUAAAUGUAAAGAGAGAAGUCUAUAAAUGA